AUAGUGUUUGGCUUCUCUUGGCCACUGGAUGAUAUGUCAGAAAGAGGAUCAUCUCCUUCUGCACCAUGGUUGACACAGAUAACUGAAACUGUGGAAAGAAAACCUGCAGGGAAGACUAUUAUAUCACCAAUAACUGCCCAAUGAAGAGUUUUCUAGAGCUGGUUGGAUGCCUCAGCCAUGUUCGGUGCACAGCUUCUAUCACACGUCCAGAGCAGUCACUCUGGGUCUUGCUAUUGCCCAACGGUGGAAGGGCCAGAGGAUGUAAAGAAGAUAAAUGUGAACAUGUGUUCCUGAUUCAUGGGCCAGAACAUUAUUAAAGUAAUCAUUGGUUGAAAACAACAAUACUAUGACAGCAAAGAUGGAACUCUCCCUUGCUCUAUUUGGAACAAAAUAGGUAAGUGACAGUACAUCCUAGACAACACAAUGCCCCCUACCACUUAUGCUUUCUACUGGUUGGCAUUUCUUCAAUCUCAAGCAACAAAAGUUGAACUCUGGCUAGAUGCAGCAAAAGGUAAUUUAU
rnacentral:lncRNA from 1 species